rnacentral:misc_RNA from 1 species
GAUGAAGAACGUAGCGAAAUGCGAUAAGUAAUGUGAAUUGCAGAAUUCAGUGAAUCAUCGAAUCUUUGAACGCACAUUGCGCCCGCCAGUAUUCUGGCGGGCAUGCCUGUUGGAGCGUCAUUACAACCCUCAGGCCCCCGGGCCUGGCGUUGGGGAUCGGCGGAAGCCCCCUGCGGGCACAACGCCGUCCCCCAAAUACAGUGGCGGUCCCGCCGCAGCUUCCAUUGCGUAGUAGCUAACACCUCGCAACUGGAGAGCGGCGCGGCCACGCCGUAAAACACCCAACUUCUGAAUGUUGACCUCGAAUCAGGUAGGAAUACCCGCUGAACUUAAGCAUAUCAAUAAGCGGAGGA